GAUGAACGCUGGCGGCGUGCUUAACACAUGCAAGUCGAACGAAGCACCUUGAUUUGAUUCUUCGGAUGAAGAUCUUGGUGACUGAGUGGCGGACGGGUGAGUAACGCGUGGGUAACCUGCCUCAUACAGGGGGAUAACAGUUAGAAAUGACUGCUAAUACCGCAUAAGACCACAGCACCGCAUGGUGCAGGGGUAAAAACUCCGGUGGUAUGAGAUGGACCCGCGUCUGAUUAGGUAGUUGGUGGGGUAACGGCCUACCAAGCCGACGAUCAGUAGCCGACCUGAGAGGGUGACCGGCCACAUUGGGACUGAGACACGGCCCAAACUCCUACGGGAAGCAGCAGUGGGGAAUAUUGCACAAUGGGGGAAACCCUGAUGCAGCGACGCCGCGUGAGCUAUGAAGUAUUUCGGUAUGUAAAGCUCUAUCAGCAGGGAAGAAAAUGACGGUACCUGACGAAGAAGCACCGGCUAAAUACGUG
rnacentral:rRNA from 1 species